UGGGGAAUAUUGGACAAUGGGCGAAAGCCUGAUCCAGCCAUGCCGCGUGUGUGAAGAAGGUCUUCGGAUUGUAAAGCACUUUUAGUUGGGAGGAAGGGCAUUAACCUAAUACGUUAGUGUUUUGACGUUACCGACAGAAUAAGCACCGGCUAACUCUGUGUCAGCAGCCGCGGGAAUACAGAGGGUGCAAGCGUUAAUCGGAAUUACUGGGCGUAAAGCGCGCGUAGGUGGUUUGUUAAGUUGGAUGUGAAAGCCCCGGGCUCAACCUGGGAACUGCAUCCAAAACUGGCAAGCUAGAGUACGGUAGAGGGUGGUGGAAUUUCCUGUGUAGCGGUGAAAUGCGUAGAUAUAGGAAGGAACACCAGUGGCGAAGGCGACCACCUGGACUGAUACUGACACUGAGGUGCGAAAGCGUGGGGAGCAAACA
rnacentral:rRNA from 1 species